AACGUAGGAGACGAACGUUAUCCGGAGUUACUGGGCGUAAAGGGCGUGUAGGCGGUUUGUUAAGUCUGACGUGAAAGCUCUCGGCUAAACCGGGAGAGGUCGUUGGAUACUGGCGAACUAGAGGAUGGUAGAGGCGUGUGGAAUUCCGGGUGUAGUGGUGAAAUGCGUAGAGAUCCGGAGGAACACCAGUGGCGAAGGCGACACGCUGGGCCAUACCUGACGCUAAAGCGCGACAGCAUGGGGAGCAAACGGG
rnacentral:rRNA from 1 species